GUGCUAGUUUCAGCAGCACAUAUACUAAAAUUAGGAUGAGACAGAUAUUAGCAUGUCCCCUGCAUAAGGAUGACAUGCAGAUUCAUGAAGCAUUUCAUAUUUUA